rnacentral:rRNA from 1 species
UGGGGAAUUUUGGACAAUGGGCGAAAGCCUGAUCCAGCAAUGCCGCGUGUGUGAAGAAGGCCUUCGGGUUGUAAAGCACUUUUGUCCGGAAAGAAAUCCUUGGCUCUAAUACAGUCGGGGGAUGACGGUACCGGAAGAAUAAGCACCGGCUAACUACGUGCCAGCAGCCGCGGUAAUACGUAGGGUGCAAGCGUUAAUCGGAAUUACUGGGCGUAAAGCGUGCGCAGGCGGUUUGCUAAGACCGAUGUGAAAUCCCCGGGCUCAACCUGGGAACUGCAUUGGUGACUGGCAGGCUAGAGUAUGGCAGAGGGGGGUAGAAUUCCACGUGUAGCAGUGAAAUGCGUAGAGAUGUGGAGGAAUACCGAUGGCGAAGGCAGCCCCCUGGGCCAAUACUGACGCUCAUGCGCGAAAGCGUGGGGAGCAAAACAGGAUUAGAUACCCUGGUAGUCCACGCCCUAAAACGAUGUCAACUAGUUGUUGGGGAUUCAUUUCCUUAGUAACGUAGCUAACGCGUGAAGUUGACCGCCUGGGGAGUACGGCCGCAAGGUUGAAACUUAAAUGAAUUGACGGGGUCAUAGCUGUUUCCU